rnacentral:rRNA from 1 species
AGAGUUUGAUCCUGGCUCAGAUUGAACGCUGGCGACGUGCUUAACACAUGCAAGUCGUGCGAGAAAGUAGACUUCGGUCUAUGAGUAGAGCGGCGCACGGGUGAGUAACGCGUGGAUGAUCUACCCUUGAGUUCGGGAUAACGGUGCGAAAGCGCCGCUAAUACCGUAUAACAAUCCAUUUCAUCGUGGGUUCAAAGCAGGCCUCUUCGUGAAAGCUUGCGCUUGGGGAUGAGUCCGCGUCCCAUUAGCUUGUUGGCGGGGUAACGGCCCACCAAGGCUACGAUGGGUAGCUGGUCUGAGAGGAUGAUCAGCCACACUGGAACUGAAACACGGUCCAGACUCCUACGGGAGGCAGCAGUGGGGAAUAUUGCGCAAUGGGGGAAACCCUGACGCAGCGACGUCGUGUGAGGGAAGAAGG